rnacentral:lncRNA from 13 species
UCAUUAAAUGUCUCUCUCUCCCAAUCACCUGGUUAGUGUUUAUAAUACGGUCUGCCUUGGUAAAUCCCCAUCAUUCUGAAAUAGCCUGAUUGUGUUUAAUUGGAGCAUUCACUAAACAGAGUCCACCCACCAGCAUCAACAAAUCCAAUAUAUUUUAACAGCAGGGAACAAUUUAAUCCGCCUCCAUAUAUCACCAUUGUAAACAACCAAGACGCAGAGCCCAAUGUUGCACAAUGAGCCUGCGUUGAGGAGGAGUUGAAAGGUCAGGUAAACACUUGUCCCAGGCUUUCCCUGCCUUUUUAAUCAGGACUCCUGUCCAUUUUUUGAUCUUGAUUAGAUCUCUUGACUUAUGGCUGUGUACACUAAUGCUGCACUUCUGGCGGCUCCUUAACUCACUGUUUGGUUUGUUUCAUGUGGACGGGAAUGUCAAGUUGCUUGUUGGCCUGGAGGCUUGUGCGCUGAGUCGCCGACAAACCAUGGAAUGAAUCCUUUGCAGACUAAUGGGCGGGCCAACGUUUUCCAGUGUUUGUCAUGGUCCUCAAAGCCCAACGUGGUCCAGUUUCAGAGAAACUGCCUCAUUCAGCACAAAUAUUAUGGAAGACCAUUUAGAGUGGUUUACCAGAUGGCUUCCAUGGAGUUUCUCAACCUCCACCAAAUAGGGAAUUGCCAUUGACAGCAAGUAAACAACCUGAACACCAACUGCCGCCAACGUAAACAUCUUAAGGUAGCAUGUGUCUCUGCUACAUUCAAAACUUCGGCUGCAGUUGUCAGGUAAAAACAACAUCCUCCUUACACUACCUUUCAAAUGCUUUCACAACUGAGUCAACUCUUGCAAUCUCCAUCCCAAAAUGUUGAAUUAACGUUGAAUGAAUGUAUUCUCACUGUAUACAUAUUAUCCAUAUAGGCUGGGUUAAAGGUCAUGAAGCAUCCAGUGACGGGUGGAAAUGAAGACCACACAGCUUGAAGAGAUCAGGUUGAAGAGGGAGGACAUAUUUAACUUCCUGGCUGUUAUUUCUCCAUAUGUUUUGACUAUGUGCUACCUGAGCUGGUCUGUGCUGUUGGGCCUGAGGCAGGUCUCUGGCAGGCAGCAGUGUCAAGUUGGAGGGAGGCUUGGUGGUCUGUGUGUGACAUGGAGAAGGGCCCACCGGCACCGCAGCAGCCCCGCUGAGGCCAGGUCUACAGCUGUCCCACCCUGCCAGGGCCUCUGCUUACAGUCACUGAAAGGAUGGAUGGAGAGAAGAUGGAUGGAUGGAUAGAGGAUCGAGAUUAGAGAUGGAUAAAUAGAGGAUAGAGACUAGAGAUGGAUGGAGAGAGGAUGGAUUGAGAAAGGCGUGGGUGUAGAUGAAUGGUGAGUGGGGGUCCUGCAGUACUAAAAGCCGGUGACCCAGACCAUACACACCCACUCACAGGGACCUAACACCACUCAGAGGACUGCUCCUUGGUCCACUGCUACCACAUGCUAAAACACUUAGAUACAACACACACACACACACACACACACACACACACACACACACACACACACACACACACACACACACACACACACAGAGAUAGCAAAAUGCUAAAUGUGAAGUUCACAUUCAAAAUACAUCCCGAGACACAGACUACCAGUCAGAGACAUCAACACACGCUCUUGUGUGUGUUGCCAUGCGAU